rnacentral:lncRNA from 1 species
GUAAUAGAACUUGAAAAAUAGAUUGUUGAGUGUAAAAGAAAAAAAUUGUGAAAUUGUCUAUUUUACUCCAUCAACGAUAGAAGUCAUAUAUGAUAAUUCAUUCACACAAAAAAUAUUAUGAAAAAAUAAAAUCAAUGAUUCAAAAAACACCCCCAAAAAAAAGAAUCUUAAAAAGACUAAAUCAAAAUUAAUUUAUACACACAAGAAAAUAUUAUGAAAAAAACAAAAUCAAUGAUUCAAAAAACACCUACAAAAAAAUUCUUGAAAAGACAGAAUCAAAAUUAAUUCAUAUACACAAGAAAAUAUUAUGAAAGAACAGAAUCAAUGAUUCAAAAAUAAAUUUAAAAGACAGAAUCAAAAUUAAUUCAUACACUCAAGAAGUUUUUAUAAAAGAACACAAAUGAUUCAGAAAACA